ACGUUGGCCCCUAAUCGGGGUUGCGGACAGUGUCUGGUGGGUAGUUUGACUGGGGCGGUCUCCUCCUAAAGAGUAACGGAGGAGCACGAAGGUUGGCUAAUCCUGGUCGGACAUCAGGAGGUUAGUGCAAUGGCAUAAGCCAGCUUGACUGCGAGCGUGACGGCGCGAGCAGGUGCGAAAGCAGGUCAUAGUGAUCCGGUGGUUCUGAAUGGAAGGGCCAUCGCUCAACGGAUAAAAGGUACUCCGGGGAUAACAGGCUGAUACCGCCCAAGAGUUCAUAUCGACGGCGGUGUUUGGCACCUCGAUGUCGGCUCAUCACAUCCUGGGGCUGAAGUAGGUCCCAAGGGUAUGGCUGUUCGCCAUUUAAAGUGGUACGCGAGCUGGGUUUAGAACGUCGUGAGACAGUUCGGUCCCUAUCUGCCGUGGGCGCUGGAGAACUGAGGGGGGCUGCUCCUAGUACGAGAGGACCGGAGUGGACGCAUCACUGGUGUUCGGGUUGUCAUGCCAAUGGCACUGCCCGGUAGCUAAAUGCGGAAGAGAUAAGUGCUGAAAGCAUCUAAGCACGAAACUUGCC
rnacentral:rRNA from 1 species